UUCUUUCUGUGCCCUGUCGCUAGAAUAGUUUGGCGGACGGUAGGGGCAAUGCUUGGCACUGAUUUAUGCCCUAAUAACUUGUGCCAGUUCUACUCCUGGUGCUAUGAUUUUCUUCCCCGGGGGGAACGACAUUUCACUGUGGGCUUAGCGGCUGUAUGCUGGGCUAUCUGGAAUCGCAGAAACCAAGCUACUUUUGAACACAAGAAACUGUCAUCUCCUUUUGAGAUUGUCUUCACAACCUAUGUGCAUUUGAAAUACUGGGCAGGACUGUUGAAAGGCCCGGAGCGGGAAGAGCUGGAGCACGGCGCGCUGCUGCUGAGGGACAAUGUUGUGAAGAUGAUGAGGCUGUGCGCAUCUGCCCACGCUGAGAGAAGCUCGGAAUGA
rnacentral:rRNA from 1 species